rnacentral:rRNA from 1 species
UACGUAGGGGCUAGCGUUGUCCGGAAUCAUUGGGCGUAAAGCGCGUGUAGGCGGUCCGGUAAGUCCGCUGUGAAAGUCGGGGGCUCAACCCUCGGAUGCCGGUGGAUACUGUCGGGCUUGAGUACGGAAGAGGCGAGUGGAAUUCCGUGGUGUAGGCGGUGAAAUGCGCAGAUAUCAGGAGGAACACCAAUUGCGAAGGCAGCUCGCUGGGACGUUACUGACGCUGAGACGCGAAAGCGUGGGGAGCAAACAGG